CUCUAAUGGAUCUAACAAGAGUUGUUGAUCUUCAGUUUUCUCAGCUUUUUUUCUUGUUGUGAGGAUGGUAGUGACAACUUCCAAGCUCUCUUUACAUGUUGGAUCAGAAACCAGAAGUUGGUGUCUUUUUAGUACAUCUUAGUUUGUGGACUGAGAUUUGUACCCACAUAGACUGAUCUCUAUGGGUAUUGUUGAAAAUUCCCUGGCAGCUAUUCAAUUCAUACAGUGGUCUCCCAGAUCUAGUUUAUAGGAACCUGAGGCAAAGGGACAUUUAAAGAAUGGACCUCACCUGUAUGUGACAAAGGUGUAGGGAAGACAGAAACAGAAUCUUGACAUGGAAUCUGGGUCUCUGAUCACCGAUCAGACUUCCCUGGGCAUAAUUGGGUGGUGGAUUUUUGGUUACCUGAGGACAUCCCUGUGUGUCCCUGCAGAGCACAGACUGAGAUUCAAAGUUUGAGUGAGCGCUGGAACAGUGGCCCAGUGGCCCCCUGUCUGCUGUGCCUUUGCAGUGGUUGAUAUGUAUAAAGGAAGAGGCUUUCAUGGGAGAAAUUAUUUUGUACAGGUCCUGGGAGAAAUUGGAAUAUGCCACUUGUCCCCAAGCUAGGACACAGGGAUGAUGUCUCAGAGAGAGUAGGUAAAAGAUGAAAAGACUUCAUUUGUGUGGCAUGGAGGAUGGAGCGCAAGCAGACCUGUUUCUAGCACACGUGGGCACUUGUCUCAGAGGUUUGCAUUUGAGCAGGAGGCUCGUGGUGUGGGUGAAUAGUGCCUCGAUGAUGGCACGUUGGAGGCUGUGUGAAGGGGGAGGAGAAUACCUUUUCUUCUCACCGUAUCACAGAGGGGUCCUCCUUCACGUCUGAGGGUAUUUCAAGCUUUACUCCACGCACCCCCAUUUUUGGUUAACACCUGAGUCACAAGUGUUUCUAAAGACCAGUCUGGCCACAACUAGAAGGACCUACAACUAAAAAUACACUACUAUGUGCUGGAGGGAUUUGGGGAGAAAAAAAAUCAGGAAAAAAAAAAAAAAGACCAGUCUCUUUUCCCUCUGCUGACAAAUUUCUAGGGGCAUCAGUCUGUUCAUCUGUCAAGAAUGUGGAGGAACAGACAUAGAAAUUGCGUUUUCCAACUGAACUGGCUGUUAAUAAUUGGUCUGGUACCAUAAGUCACUAUGUUCUAUUUAGUUAAGGAACUUAUCAGGACAAAAAGAAGGAGACUUCUUGGCCAGCAGUCUGUUUAUCUUAUAAAUUAGUCUGAGUAAAAGCUAAAAGAAAAGGUAGGGGUACAUGCUGUUACUCAGCCUGGAGACAUCUGGUCAUAUGCCGAGCCAAACCCAUGUCUGUGUUUCGGCUCGACAAGCUUGGUGCUGUUCCUUCCAUGGUAACGGUUACAGAAUGUCCUUGGGUGGUGCCCAUGGAAGCUGGCUUGAAAAAGGAUGUGGGAGAAUGAAGAGGCCAUCAUCUAUUUCUUCAUUGUUUGGUGCAUUCUUCAUCCUCAUGGGCAUUCUCUAUGUCAGGCGGCUGCUCAGGCGCAUUCCAGUUGUGAAUGGUCCUGAAUGACUUCGGUGACCUUUCAGAGGGAUCUCGGCAGUACACCCCAAAGCACAUGAUCCUUGAAGGCUUCCCAAAUCCGUUGGUGCCAAAAAGAACCCAGCAUUUGGUGACUGUGAGUGAUGCUGAUCGUUCUGAAGAGCUUAUUGUGCUGUACCAACCGUCGUUCUGAUAAUCUGUAUAAUGUCUUAUUUCCUCUGCCUGAAUCUAAGCUCCUUGAGGCCAUGUCUCUUCCAUUUCUGUAUUUACCAUAUAGCCCAAAACUCAUGCGAAUGCACACUGAUUUCAUUUCUUUCUCUGAUAAAGUGAAAGAACCCAAAUUGUAUCUAUUGACUCAUCCUUAGCUUCACACACAUGACUUUCAAAUUUUGUUUUUGCCUAGCGCUCUCUUUUGUAGGACUGAAAACAAUGGUUUUGCUAGUACUGUGCUUAGCCGAGCAUUAAUGGCUCACACCACUGGGGGAGACACAUGAGUUGAUCAGUCCUAUAGGGAGGCAUUCUGCCUGUAAUUGUCAGGAAGGGCCCGUGCUUCUUUCAAUGAUGGCUGUGUUGCUGCUAAUAAUGAACCAGUCCUUGCUCUUGCUUGUCUUGACUCAGAGGCUGGUGUCUAUACCAUGCUCCCUCUGCCUCUGCCCCCACCAGGAUUUAUAGGCAGGCAUGAGUCAUCUGACCACAGAAGGUGGCAUUUCCAUAGCAGGACAAAGAUUAGCUGGCAUGCUUUGGGUCACCUCACGGUGCUAAUGUCCUUCCGUGGAGAUGGGUCACGUACAGCAAUUGAAGUGAACUUGAGCCCCUCCUGGGCGUUGGUCUUUCACAGGGACAGACUGUGGAUAUCUGUCAAUUCUUUUGGAUAUAUUCCCAUCUGUAAGGGCAGAUAAGGGAUAAUAAGUUACUGACCUCAAGUUCUCUUCUUUUUGAUUUCACUACUUUGCUCCUUAAAUAGGAAUUGCUCAAACUUGGCUUCUCAAGAAUUUGCCCAAUGUUACCGGCUAGGGGUGUUUCCUUGGCUUAGAACCCCUUCCCCCACGUUAUUUCUCUGGCUAGCUUCUACCCUUUCUAUAGAGCUCGGCAGAGACAGCACCUCCUUUCUGAAAACUCCCCCAAUCCCAGGCAAGGUGAAAGCCUGAAAAUUGUUUUAUUUUUUUUUAAAUUGUGGUAAAAAGCAUAUAACAUAAAUUUACCCUCUUAAUUUCAUUUUUUAUUAUUUAUUUAUUUUAAAGCUUGGCACCUGAGCUAACAUCUAUUGCUAUUUUUUUUCUUCUUCUCCCCAAAGCCCCCCACUACAGAGUUGUACAUUCCAGUUGUAGGUCCUUCUGGUUGUGCUAUGUGGGACGCCGUCUCAGCAUGACUUGAUGAGCAGUGCCAUGUCCACACUCAGGAUCUGAACUGGUGAAACCCUGGGCUGCCUAAGUGGAGCGUGCGAACUUAACCACUCAGCCACGGGGCCAGCCCCUACCCUCUCAAUUUUAAAUGUAUAGCACAGUACGACUAUCUGUGCACACUCUUGCACAGCACAUCUCCAGAACUUUUGCAUCCGGGAGACUGGAACUCUACCCAUUAAACUGUACCAACUUCCCCUUUUCCCCUCCCCCCAGCCCCUGGAGACUUCCUUUUGAUUUCCUGUUUCUGUGAAUUUGUCUACUCUAGAUACCUCAUAUAAGGGGAAUCAUGUAACAUUUGUCUUUUUGUGACUGGCUUAUUUCACUCAGCAUGAUGUCCUCCAGGUUCAUCUAUGUCAUGGCAUAUGACAGGAUUUCCUUCUUUUUUAAGGCUGAAUAAUAUUCCAUUAUAUGCCUAUAUGACAUCCCACAUCUUAUCCAUUCCUCCCUUGAUGGUCACUUGAGUUGCUUCCACCUCUUGGCUAUUGUGAAUAAUGCUGCAAUGAACAUAGGGGUGCAAACAUCUCUUCCAGAUCCUAUUUUCAAUUCUUUUGGAUAUACACCCAGGAGCGGGAUUAUUGGAUCAAACGGAAGGACCUCCAUACUGUUUUCCACAGCAUCUGCACCAUUUUACAAUCCCACCAACCCUGAAAAGGCUUGGAUUGCAGCACUACCACACUGUUUGAGAGGUCUGUUUCCUUGGCUUCCUCCUUCGCUCUUUGCUGAGCAUCCUCAGGCAUGAAUUUUGACUUUUUAUGUUCGUACUCCCAGAGCCUAGCACAGAGCCUGCUCAUAAUGGGCACUAAAACUUUUUUAGGAAGAGAGAGCAAUGUAAAACCCAAUUCAAGUCUCACUGAGGCUGACUAUUAGGAUCACCUUAAAAAUGCUCUACUUUUUCAGAAUUCCUGUUGUAGUCCGAGUUAAUACCCAUGGUUUGGCACAAAUGGCUCCCUAGUUGUUUGUGUGCCUUAUCUCUUCAGAUGGGCUGUAAGCUCAUCCAGAGCAGAAUUGAUUCCUUAAACUUGUCAUACAUCCCUUGAUGCCUCUCUCACUGUGUACAAACUACAUGAUGGAUCUCUCUGCCUUUGUCCUCAAGACACUGUGUCUUACUCGCCUUACUUUCUCUGUCAUUUGACAUAGUGCCUGGCACAUAAGUGGUGAUCAAUAAUAUUUGUAUUUAUUGAAUAAGUAGUAGAUUCUGGAGCCAUGGGGAGCUAAGCUCAAGAUCAGUUUUCCAGUGAAAUCUUGCUCAAUGUUCCCAUGAAGCUCUCUUUCUCUGUAGGUGUGAAACGCUUAUCAGCAUAGGCUACCUUGAAACGUCAAAUCUGGCAUCUCCAGAAAGCAGCCCAUAUACUCUCCUGGGGCCAGAACAGCUCUGAAACUAAAAGGAAACUAAGCAUCUCAUCUCAAAGCAACUUUUCAUGCUGUUUUAUUGUUCACCACCACCCAGAAGCCUGCGCUUCAGCAAAGUCAGUCUUGUGAUGAAGGGUAGAAGUCAGGAGUUGUGUACAAUUGGAUCUGAUUUCUUCCUGAUUCGAGUUCUGGAUUCCUUUCAUAGUCCUUUCUGGAUUUGAGUUCUGGAUUCCUUUCAGAUUCCUUCCUGGAUUUGAGUUUUAGAAGCCUUGGCUUCUUGAGGGGAUUACGCCAUAGGCAGUAGAGAGAAGCUGUUGCCUUUGAGAGAAGGAUAAUUACUCAGGAUUUGGAAAGGGACAGGAAUCUGUGGAUCUCAUGAAUGGGGGGCCCUGGUCUUCUCUCUCUGGCAACAUCCAGAAAGGUGGGGAGGCCACUGAGGGGAAUGGCUAUGUGGUGUACCAUGGAGGCUGGACCCCAGCAGCUUGAAGCUACCAUCUUGCUGCAGAUUCCUCUGCCUGAGCUUGGCGAGGAAGCCACAGGCUGCCAGACUUCAGUGGGCCAUGUGGGUGUGAACAGAUGAAUGUUUUCUUCUGUGCGCCUUUUUAUAAACUUGGAGAAGAUGUUGAACAGGAGGAAGCACCACAAUUUGACUCUUCACCAUCUUAGUGACUUGGAGUUGACUUUGAUUUAAGAAAAUAAAGUAAUGUGAUGAUUCAUAGAUGCCUAGAUUACGAGACUAAGAUUUAUUCCCAGCACGUGAGUGAGGCAUCUGGCACGGUUCCUGGAUGUUUAAGGGACUUGACAAAGAUUAUUUUCCUUCACCUUUAUUUGUAGGGAAUGGUCCACGCAUACUCUUUGAUUGUUUGAGAUACAUCCUGAAAAAAUAUUGAGUGUUGAUCAAAAUUUGGGGGAAAAAUUGACUUCUUUUAAACGUACUAGGGAAGCACCUCAUUUCUUAAAGUGAGGAAUUCUUGUUGAAGAAUUCUUGUUUAAACGGAAUUCUGCUAAUCUGGGGUUUCAGAUAGUUCACUUAACGUGAUAACAAGGAGAUUACAGAAAGCUGUCUUUUAUUCUUUUUUUUUUGAAAAGCACUGCUUAUGUGACUGUGAGUGAUAACCUGACUCAGCAGGACAAUGAGUCUGCCUUAAAGAGCAGCUCAGCUCCAAGGUCUCACCCGGGAAUUGCUGUGUCAUGGGGGUAGGCCGCAGAGGAAAUAGAGUUCUGACUUAUCACAUCACUCCAUCUUGAUAAGGGGAGCCACACUUCAAAUCACUCCUUCUGUUAUGAUGAAGCUGCAGGAAAUGAGAGACCUCCUGAUUCCAGUGCCAAGAGCUGGGCUGAGGGUCACUUGCUUUGCUAUCUGCCCUAAGUGGUUAACGGCUGACCAACCUCGGAAGUUCCUCAUGACGCAGUUUAGCGACUGGAUUGUCAUUGUGCUUUCUCUACUUCCUCAUGGGAGAGGAAUAGAGAAGAGUGCUAGUUUUAUUAUUUGUACAAAGCUGACAUACUUAGUCUUUUCCCAUACCUGUCUUCCCUUCGGGUAGGAAGCCAAAGCAAAAAACAAAAAAAAAGAAGAAUCUUGGUUUUAAAGUGGUCCUUUCUUGGCUUCUGAACUGGAGAAGUCAUCUGUGGAACUCAGAAAAAACCUAGGGUGGCUGGAAGGGCUUUUGGAUAUCCUACAUGCCAGUACUUUCUUCAUGGGUAAAAAGGAAGCUCAAGGUGAUGUGACAUUGGGACACGCCGCAGGUAACAGUAGGACAGGGCUGAGAUUGCAAUCAGUCCUCCUGAUGACUGGGCCAGCACAUGUUGUCAAAAUCAAGCAUAAGAAUGGCCUUGGAAAGCACAAAUAUUUGGUUUUUAACGACUAUUUACUCAUUAUCUUUUUUUUUUUUUUUAAAACCAGCUUAACAUCUUUAAGGAUUUAUGGACUGCUAUAGUCUUAUAAGAGUAAUAAAUAUGUUAUAUAUUGUGUUGACUCAUUUACAAAGCUAGCAGAAACCUAAUACAAAAAAGAAGAAGAAAAAAGAGAUAAAAGUCUAGACUGGUUUCCUUUAUAAAUAGAGAAGUGAAAAUUCUAAUAAAAAUAUGAUUAGAUGGGACCACAUUGCAUUAUUGCUCCAUGCAAUGAUAGUUUAGUAUUAAAGAAUGCAAUGAAGGUUUAAUAUUAAAAGUUUUAUUAAGUUAAAUAUCACAUAGAUGGGUUCAGCACAAAAAGCUCAUGACUUCCGUAAACACUGAAAUAGCGUUUAUUUACUCUUAAUUACAAGAAAAGAAAUCAGGAAAAUGAGAAGUAAGCGGUUACAGUGAGUCCUUGCCCGUGCGCGGGGAGCAGAGUGAAGUGACCCAGGUGCACGGCCAUGCCCUGUUUUCCAUUCGCUGCUGGCUGGACUCGAAUGAAAAGGAAAGUCCAGAGGAGGACAGAACCACAAGAUGGCAGGAUCCUGGGUCCCUGAACUACCUCAUGCUCACGGACAAUGAGCACUUACUUCAAUCAGUUUACUGAACAAACAGUAAAGCUGUGUUAUGUUUGAGACACUGUGCAUUUCAGUCUGGUCCACGCAUCCCCACAGCUUAGCCUACUCUGGGCUGCAUCCCGCGUCAUCCUUCAGGCCUCUGUUCCAAUGCUCUGAUCUGCUCUCUUCUGUGUUCGGAGGUCCUUUUAUUGUGGGCUGCUGCUUUUCCUGGUGACUCUACCUGUGGGUUUCUUGGAGGCCUGGGCUGAAGUGUAUCUGUCUAGAGAACGUCUGCUUCUGCCAGCUGCCCGGGAGUGCUACCAACCCUGACCGCUUUAAAUUAAAGAUCCAAAUGAGUCUUUUCAGAGGACACAGUGCCAAGAUCAAGAUAAGCAAGUUCUGUGCCCUUUUUUUCAGGUGAAUCAUUGAACAAAUGCUUCAUCAUAUCCUGAAGAUAAAUUCCCGGAAGCGGAAUUGCUGGAUCAAAGGUUAAGCGUUGUUAAGCUGCAGGACUAGACUGCCUGGCUGAAAGGGCUCACGUGGGUUAGUCACCAUCACAUAAGAAGAAGUCUGACCUGGAAGCAGGGGCUUCCAUGGUCAGUUCCCGCCCCAAUGAAGUCACGAAGGACCAGGCUCUCCCUUCUUCCGGCUCUGCCAUCUUUCGUGUGUUGGCGAUGUCUCCUGUCCCAGGAGUUUUGUGCUGGCAUCUAUGGAGCUACAUCUGGCUGACUUGUUAGCUUGCAGGGGUAAAAUCUCAAAUAUCUUCACAGAUUUUGACAGUUUUGAUGAUGAAGAUGGGCGGCUGACAGAGACACGGCUUUCUGGAAUCGAAAGGCUGAAGGCCUCGUGAACUGACUAACAGGAUUUGACAGAAGUCCGUAGAAUCAGUAGAAAAAUGGAAGAGGAAAACCUUUGAGCUUGGUCUAUGGACAUAUCAGUGCGGUGUGUGGGUGCAAAGCCCAAGUGGCCUGUAGCUAUGCUGUAGCAUGUGAGGAGUGGCCUUGAAAGACAGCAGUGAGGGGCGAUCCUCCCCAUGGGCAGAACUUUGCGUGUUAAACCUGUUUGCCUACUUUGUGCUGAAGGAGAAGUGGCCCGAGGUUAAAAUACGUGUGGACUCGAAGUGGCAAAUGGCAUGACUAGCUAGUCAGGAGAAGAAGAGAGAGAGAGACCGGAAGACUGGGGACCAGAAUUUUGGGGUAGAGGCAUGAGGAUGCACAUGUGAGAGUGGAACGAAGUGUGAAGAUAAUUUUCUCACAUGUUAGCACCCAACAGGGAACGUCCACCAUGGAACAGCCAUCAGUGAUUUGGCCAGUUGACACUGGUCAACCUCAGUGCAGGUCAACCACAAUUGGCACAUGGACAGGGUAGCCAUGUGGCAGAGAGGGAGGCUAUGCAUGGACUCAUAAUUACAGACUCCCUCUUACCAGGGCUGUUGUAGCUACUGUGACUGUCAAAUGUUCAACCUGCCAGCAACGGAGACCAACGCCCAGCCCCUGAUUAGGUGUUACACCUUGAGGAGACCAACUGGCCGCUUGGUGGCAAGUUUACUACGUUGGGCCCCUUCCAUCACAGGAGGGCUGGAGGUUUGCCUGAUAGGAAUAGACACAUACUGCAGGUACAGGUUCGCCUGUGUUCUCGCAGAGCUUCAGGUAGUAUCGCUAUUUGAGCAUCCCACGGUAGGUGGCUAUUUCUAUGAAUGUUUGUGUACAUUUUUUGUGUGUGGACAUAAAUUUUCAUUCCUCUGCAAUAAAUGCCCAGGAGCACAAUUUCUAGGGCAUGUGGUAAGUGAAAGAUAUUUUUCCUAGCUAUAGGACAGCACCGUGGGCCCUUCACCCUAAAUCCACUUCCUGAAGAAUCAGCGCUGUGGACAGGGGUGCGUCCUCCUGGAGUUUCUGUGCCAUCUCACUCUGGGGGACGGGAUGGGUGCAGGGCUCCUUCAGCGGGGAGGAUCCCUGAGGGCGUCUGGAGGACCCCCCCAUCCAUGUCCUCACUGGGCCACCUGCCCCUUUCAAGCCUGGCCCGGUGGGCAGGUGUGUCUUGCAGUCGCCCCAAGGAUUCCUCUGUGAAGGAACCCCCUAAUGGCAGAGUGAGGAGUUUGGAGAUCACACUGCCUGCCUUCUUUCCUUUUCAUGGUAGGCAUGCCAUGAUGGCCCUGAGGUUCGACGACAGCCCAAUUGGCUGACAGUUUUGUCUCUUGGAAGCUCAGAUAGGAGCAAAAAUUCAGAAGGACGUGAGUUCUCCUGCCUGUCUCCAGAGCCAUGCUUCAGCCUCCGCUAGCAGACCGUGGCCGGCCACAUUCCUGCCGACAGUCCCUGUGAUGUUUUGACUUGAUGCUCAUUCCAUGCUCAUGCCUGACCACUAGGUUCCGUCUGCUGUGGCUUCAGAAUGAUUGAUGUCACUUCUUCCACUGUGGAAAAAUCUCAGGAGCCUCAAAGAUCAAGGGCCGAAAGGAAAGCAUGUGGGAGGCCACUGACAGUUUGUGUAGAGGGGAAAAACAUUAUUCACAGCAGGCAGUCCAUCCUGGGGCUGUGGACUCGGGCCAUUGCACGGAGCUCCGGCUUUGCGGUGAAACGGGGAUGUGUCAUGCACAAGCACGACCAAGACCGGCGAAGGUGUGGAGGCCGAGGGAGAUUUUCCAAGGCUGCCUCCAUGUGCUUGGUCGUCACUCCACUGCAGGCGUGGUCCACCGCCCGGCCUUUUGCCAUCUGAGACCCAUAUUUCCCACUGUGUCUAGCACGAUGCCUGACAACAGGCUUUCCACCAUCCGGGACAUCCACCCUGCUCCUGCUCAUUCUCUUUUGCUGACUACUCUCCUGCUUCCUGACUUCUUCUCACAGAGCGAAGAACACGGAAAUCAGCCGUCAUCACGAGCAGUUUACACUGACCCUGCCCUGCUGAGUUCUUCCGCACGUGGACACACACGCUUGAACACAUCUUCUUGUGUAGUUGAGAUCACGUAGCACGGAUCAUGCUUUUCCACACAUCAUGUUUCAGAUACAGACCUAAGAUGGGGACCACAGCAACAUCAAACAGAUGGCAUACGUGCAGUGGAACGAAGGCUGCGGUCUGAACCUGUCUUCUCAGCAGGAACAUUCUGGCCCAGAACCUUCCCCUUCUCACUGCUGUCAGCCGAGUGGGCAAGUAAAUAUACGCAUCUGUGACGUUUAGAGGGAAUUUGAACAAUUUCCACAAGUCACUUUUUGGAAGACUGUUUUUCCUAUGAAUUUUAACACAAAAUGUACAAACCAGCUUACUAACUCUACUUUUGUAGGCACUGGCAACCUCUUUAACAUCUAGAAAGACUGGGUAUUAUAAAAUUAGGACUCACUUGUCCCUGAUAUAAACUAUAUGCACAGCAAAGGAAAACGAAAUGCAGACCCACGGGACAGUGGUCAAGCUCGCCUUACGACAGACACGUUGGCACAGAGCCCUCUGCUCUUCCCUCUCAUCUGUCUUCUCUCAAACCGGGACACAAAGGCAAUGUGCCCUGUCCAAAGAGGCCGUUCCAUUUCCUAAGGACACUGCUUCUAAUGAAUCUUAACAAAAAGACAUUUAGAAAAUGUGUCACUUUACUGCUGUGCUUUUCACAUUUUUCAGGUACUUUAGAGCAUCAGGAAAGAUCAGAUAUCUCAAAAAAGUACUUGUUGUGGUCAACUCCAUGUGCCUUAGUGAAGAAUAAAAUGGGCAUGCAGAACAAGGGUUAUAGGGUGAAGAUGUCUUCUAAAUAGGACUUCUGUGGCACAGACCACUUCUGAACUCUGAGCUCAGCUGUAGCCCAAAUUCUGGAGCUUUCACAGACCCCCUAGAGCUCAUUCUAGAGGUUCCUUCUAGAGGGUCACAGAGUUCAGGCUAAGAUUUUUAUGCACUUCUUACUCCUUCCACAAUGGAUUCGCUAAAGGAGAGAAGGCCUCCAGCUAACCCUUUUAGUGCUUUCCAACUGGGGCUCUGCCUUGGAGAAGUGCAUUUCCAGUUAUUGAGCCAUCGUUUUGCCCUGGGUCUCCUCCCAGGAGAGAAAAGCGUUUGACUCCCAAGGUUCCCGGCAUUUUUGAAAGAACUCUAAGCCACAGCCAGCUUUACCCUGGCAAGUCAUUCCAUCCCCUUUCUUUCCCUCUUUCCUUUCCCAUGGAACGACUCCUUCCAUCUGUCUUUCAAACUCUGCUUUAUAAAUAGGAAUUCAAGUUUUAUUUUCUUCUUGAAUGCACUCUCUCCGUGAAAGAGGCUUUCCACCAAGAAUGUGGUGUCUGAUCGCUAUCUUGCCAACGGGUUUAACAAAGAUCUCCAUGGUGGGUAAACUUUUUACAGAUCUAUUCACACAUGCCUCUUCUUCUCGCACUUGGCUAAAACCAACAACACAUUCAUCAAAGAAGAAGGGGUGAAAAAAUCCUUCUCCAAGGUAAUUGAGAAAUAACUUUGACAGAAUUUGAUAAAAUUAUCUCCAUUUUCCAUCUGGUUUUUCUGGAAGGCAUUAAUUCAGAUAGACACUGAGCACAAAGCAGGUCAUAGAUCUACAUAUGUGAAAAGUAUAAGUGAAUACAUCUACUCAGGCUAUUUAUCACCAAAUGUUCAAUAAUCUGAAGUUCGAAAAACUCAGCUAAUAACUGGUAUGUGCUGAAAGUUUUCAAAAAACUAAGAGCAUCUAGCUCGAGAGAAGACCAACGACACAGAAACUCAUUCAGGAGAAUUUAAAACAGAAGAGGAGGAAAGUGCGCACUGGAGACUGUACCUACUGACAAGAUCGGGCUGGUUGGCAUGCACCCCUGACAGCUUAAACACUGGACAAAUGGGAAGCAGCUGCCCAGCCCAGAGGCCUCCUGUGGAUUACGUUCAUCUGUGCGGCAAACAGCAACAGCUCUGUUAUAUUCUUUCUAAGCCAGGGGUUCUCACUUUGACCACAUGUUAGAAUCGUCAGUGGAGCUUAAAUGCCCCAUAGCAGAGUCUCUGGGUACGGCCGUGUAUCAGCAUGUGUAUUUUAAGCUGCCCAGGUAAUUCCAAUAUGCUGGCAAGGUUGAGAACUCCUUGAUGAAAAUUCAUAAUUUAUUAAGCACCUCUCAUGUGUCAGGCACGUGUCCGGUACUGUGUCAGAUGCUGUUAUGGACUGAACAUUUAUGUUGCCCCCAAAUUCAUAUGUCAAUGAAGGUUUUGGUGAUGGAAUUUGGAGGUGGGAUCUGAGGGAGGUGAGUAGGUCAUGAGGGUGGAGCCCCCAUGUUGGGAUUAGCGCCCUGAUAAGAAGAGCUACUAGAAGCUUGCUUCUUCUCUCUACUCUCCACCACGUGAAGACACAACAAGACAGACGAGGGCCAUCUGCAAAUCAGGACGCGGCUCUCACCAGACUCUGGAUCUGCUGGCACCUGGGUCUUGGACUUCCAGCCUCCAAUAGAGUCACCACCCAAGCAAACCUGAAGAUUGUGUAGCCACCCAAUUCUGUGUAUUUCCCAGAGCCAGAAGCUGCACAGCAGCCAUGGAAAGACUGAAGUUUGGCGCCAGUUUUGGCUCUGCCGUUAAUUCAUUCAGGACAACCUCGACACUGGUCUGGAGAGAAAGCUGGAUCCUGUGCAAAUAACUAGAGCGCAGCUAAGGGGAAGUAAAACGUGCUACUGAGGCAGGAAACGUCGGCACGUCACACAGCCUAUGCUGGACAGUCAAGGAGGGAUGUGUGAAAAGAAGCUUGUGUCUCCAGUAAAUGCAACCCAACAAGGUGGAAACCACUACUGUCACUGCUUUACUGAUGAAGAAAAACUCGGGUUCUAGGAGGACAAAUAGCUCAGUGAAGCCUGGGGAGCAGCGGUCCCAAAGCUCUGAUUCCUACACGUUUUCCUGCUGAGUCACACCGGCUGCUGAGACGUCGCCAGAGGACCUGACAGCCCCUUUAGGACUUGGACUCUAUUCUGCAUUGCUGGACGAUAAGCAGCUUUUUUCUUAUCAGUUCUUAAGAAAUGUGCAGCUUACACUGAUUAAAGGUGAGGAAGCCAGGGACAUCGUGAGCACUGCGCAGCCCCGAGGGUGGCUCUCAUACCUAAAGUGAUCACUCACCUCUGUGCCGGAACAUCUAGUUUCCAGCAAUUUGCAGACGGUAAACACCCAGAGGCAGAGCCGGGGCGGAGGAGGGGCUCAGCUUCUCCAGGACACUGUAAUCAAACCCACACUGAGGAAUUUGCUGCCAGCCACUUCGUCAAAACCAGACAAGGCUGCCUCCUGGGCGAUGUCUUCUACUUGGAAACCAGGAAAGGAGGCAAGGGGUUCUAGCGUGUUCUCUUUAUAGAAGGAUCCAAGUGGCUUGAGUGUACCAUCUGAUACCCCGAGUCUGGCUUAGCAUCCAGGUCUCCAUCACUGCUCUGCUGCCCUCAGAGCUGCCUAGGGUCACUGGACCACCCAGCUCACUGCUGACAUUAGGGGGAGUCUCAGAUGGGACCUUUGAUAGCCACAGAAAAGGCUUCUCACCACGCUAGUGGCUUGAGCGAAGCUGGGAGAGGUAAUAUAUGGAUAUUUCAUAUAGAAUACCGGCGAUUUUUAUCUGUGGACAUCUUAUUAUUGCACCCAGCGCACUGUAUUGCAAUCCAGUGUUUAUCUCCCCGAGUGGAAUGGAAACAGCUAUAGGGCUUGAAUUAUGCAAAUUUAUUUUUGUGUCCUCAGUGCCUGGGACAUGAUUGGUGUUCAGUAACUGCUUGAAUGAAUGAAUCAGUAAUGAUUAGCCUCAGCAAUACUUUGUUCUUAAAAUGAGACACACAAAUAUUUAUUUUUUCUAAAGUACAGUUUCUAGGCCAACAGAGAUGUGUGAUAAGAAGGCUUCUGAGAAGAGUCUUCAUGAUUUUAUAGUCUUCAUGGUGAGAGAUAAGACACAAAGGUACACAUGAAGGAAAGAGAAGACACCAGGCUACAAAAGCCAAAAGCCGGAAAAAAAAAAAACACCCACCAAACCCCCAAAUAAACCCCUCUCCCUCCCAAAAAAACCCAAAAAAGCAGACUGUCUAGUAAAAAGUACCCACAGAUUCUGAUAAUCCAGCCACGAUGGUCACAGUUUUAAUAGUAAGAAUAAAAAGUACACACUUCUUCCCUUUCCUUGCCAAGGUUGAAGGCAGAAUCUUUACCAUUGUGAGGGAGAGAGCGUGAUACUGGACGGAAACUGAGGCGGGCAACAGCUAGAGGCCUUGCUCAAAUUGUCCCAAAGGUCAGAUAAAAAAUUCUCUGCAGUGCCAAAUUCUUUGCCGGUGGACUUUUUUCCAUACUGAUUGCUGAAUAAGGUGCAGAUUUGCUUGUCCUGGAAGUAGUUUUCUUUCUGGCAAAUCUGUGCAUUUAGGCAACUCUGUGUUUGGCCGUCUCUCACUUGCACUUUUUUGAGCUGUUCUCCUUGUUUGUGUCCUGGCCACCCCCCCACCCAAGGCUUCACUGCUCCCCUUCUGGCAGGUCCUCAAAUCACAUACUGACAAUACCUUAAGUGUUAAUUACCCCGUGCAGCUGGCCUUUUAACCAGGGAACUCCCACACCUUGAAGAUCUUUCUGAUCCAGGAUGUUGACUAAACUCAGUGUGGUCAUCAUUUGACCAUCUGUACAUAUAUCAAAUCAUUAUGUUGUACAACUAAGACGGAUACAAUGUUAUCUGUCGAUUACAUCUCAGUAAAAAUACAAGCAAAUAAGAUGUUUAAUAGUAAAAUGUUAAGGUGGGUGGGUGGGAAGGCAGAAAUUUUGGAAGAGGGCGUUUGCCUGAUGUUUU
ensembl:lncRNA